rnacentral:rRNA from 1 species
GACGAACGCUGGCGGCGUGCUUAACACAUGCAAGUCGAACGGAAAGGCCCUGCUUUUGUGGGGUGCUCGAGUGGCGAACGGGUGAGUAACACGUUAGUAACCUGCCCUUGACUUUGGGAUAACUUCAGGAAACUGGGGCUAAUACCGGAUAGGAGCUCCUGCUGCAUGGUGGGGGUUGGAAAGUUUCGGCGGUUGGGGAUGGACUCGCGGCUUAUCAGCUUGUUGGUGGGGUAGUGGCUUACCAAGGCUUUGACGGGUAGCCGGCCUGAGAGGGUGACCGGCCACAUUGGGACUGAGGUACGGCCCAGACUCCUACGGGAGGCAGCAGUGGGGAAUAUUGCACAAUGGGCGGAAGCCUGAUGCAGCAACGCCGCGUGCGGGAUGACGGCCUUCGGGUUGUAAACCGCUUUCGCCUGUGACGAAGCGUGAGUGACGGUAAUGGGUAAAGAAGCACCGGCUAACUACGUG